rnacentral:rRNA from 1 species
AGGAUGAACGCUGGCGGCGUGCCUAAUACAUGCAAGUCGAGCGGUAAGGCUCCUUCGGGAGUACACGAGCGGCGGACGGCUGAGUAACACGUAGGAACGUACCCCAAACUGAGGGAUAAGCACCAGAAAUGGUGUCUAAUACCGCAUGUGGUCUUCGGAUUAAAGCUUCGGCGGUUUGGGAACGGCCUGCGCAUGAUUAGCUUGUUGGUGAGGUAAUUGCUCACCAAGGCGACGAUCAUUAGCUGGUCUGAGAGGAUGAUCAGCCAGACUGGGACUGAGAACGGCCCAGACUCCUACGGGAGGCAGCAGUAGGGAAUUUUCCACAAUGGGCGAAAGCCUGAUGGAGCAACGCCGCGUGCAGGACGAAGGCCGUUCGGUUGUAAACUGCUUUUAUAUGUGACGAUUAUGACGGUAGCAUAUGAAUAAGGAUCGGACUACUCCGCGCCAGCAGCCGCGGUAA